rnacentral:lncRNA from 1 species
ACCAUGUUUCCUAAGAAUUUGUGUGACAGUUAGAACCAAAUCAGUUGCUGUAACACCAUUGCGCAAUUUUCCAGACAACUUGAACCCAACAACACCAGGUAACACCAUACUCAUUGGCUGGCCAAGCAUUGCUGCCUUACAGUAACUGGUAUUGCAGCGGCUGCUCUAGUUUCAUUUGCUUGUUGCCUCAAAUCCUGUCUGAUUUUCACAUAAUUAUUUUGCAGUAACUUUGCUGCAGUGACAAGGGUUGAACGUGCUUACAGGUCGGACGUUACAACUCUAUUGUGCAGGCUGAUGCAAGUUAGUGUAGGAUGCUUACAAGGCAAUGUUAAGUGUUUUCCGCUCCUGAAUUCCUUUGCUGCUGUUAUGCCUUGAUAUUAUUUUGCGACACCCGGUCAUGAGGUCUCUUUGGUCCCGAGAUACAUGGUUCGACUUCGUCAAGAUUUAAUUCAAGAUAGGAAGAAUAAGCUCUGUCUUGUUGAGGCUCAUUAUAGUCGACAAACAAUUUGUUUGCUCUGAGAUAGGCCUCUAUCAUUGCCACAGUCUCGUCACUUCUUCCAGUUAGUUUGAGGUAUUGUAAUGUUACAUGAUCUACCGGGAAGAAACCCAUGGUUGCUCCAUAUUCAGGAGACAUAUUGGCAAUAGUGGCCCUGUCAGCUAAUGAUAAUUCACCCAUACCAUUGCCAUGAAAUUCAACAAAUUUCCCUACAACACCAUGUUUCCUAAGAAUUUGUGUGACAGUUAGAACCAAAUCAGUUGCUGUAACACCAUUGCGCAAUUUUCCAGACAACUUGAACCCAACAACACCAGGUAACACCAUACUCAUUGGCUAGCCAAGCAUUGCUGCCUUACAGUAACUGGUAUUGCAGCGGCUGCUCUAGUUUCAUUUGCUUGUUGCCUCAAAUCCUGUCUGAUUUUCA